UACGUAGGGUGCGAGCGUUAUCCGGAAUUAUUGGGCGUAAAGAGCUCGUAGGCGGUUUGUCGCGUCUGUCGUGAAAGUCCGGGGCUUAACCCCGGAUCUGCGGUGGGUACGGGCAGACUAGAGUGCAGUAGGGGAGACUGGAAUUCCUGGUGUAGCGGUGGAAUGCGCAGAUAUCAGGAGGAACACCGGUGGCGAAGGCGGGUCUCUGGGCCGAUACUGACGCUGAGGAGCGAAAGCGUGGGGAGCGAACAGG
rnacentral:rRNA from 1 species